rnacentral:sRNA from 1 species
AGGGGGUGCCUUUCAGGCAUCCUCUCCCAAACUUCCAAAGGGCUGGUCUUCGGAUCGGCCCUUUUUUUUGGACUCU